GUAAUCAUUGGUCGUGCUUGUUGACUUUCCACAGUUUUCCUCUUGAACAGGGUGACACUUAGCUUUUUACUAUUUGAUGAUAUUGUACGGCGGAGCUUUGCUCUUUGGGAAUGUUGCAGUUCCUUAUUUGUUCUCCAAGCAGAUGUGGCAGCUUCUCUAGUUCCUCAGUUCGGACUCCUUCCGCUGGGAUGAUUGUGCAAGCUGCAUUCUUCUCUGCUUGUUUCUUCUGCACAACGGGCAGGCACGAGGGAAAGGUGUUGGUCCUUAUUUCUUUCUUCAAUCUUUCCAAGUGCCCACCUCUUGCUUUCUUUCUCCUUGUCCCUAGCUGAAUUGUCUCCACAUGCUUCGAGGUAUCAUUUUCACUUCCCUUACUACUGUCCCCCAGGCAGAUGUGGUAGACGAAAGAGAAAGCAUAAAAUGAUGAAGAUGAG
rnacentral:lncRNA from 1 species